GUCUUUGGGCCAUAGCUCACUGGUAGAGCAUUUGCUUUGCAUGCAGAAGGUCACAGUUUCAGUCCCCUGCAUUUUCUGGUAGGACU